rnacentral:rRNA from 1 species
UAUACCUACGGGAGGCAGCAGUGGGGAAUAUUGCACAAUGGGGGAAACCCUGAUGCAGCGACGCCGCGUGAGUGAAGAAGUAAUUCGUUAUGUAAAGCUCUAUCAGCAGGGAAGAAAAUGACGGUACCUGACUAAGAAGCCCCGGCUAACUACGUGCCAGCAGCCGCGGUAAUACGUAGGGGGCAAGCGUUAUCCGGAUUUACUGGGUGUAAAGGGAGCGUAGACGGUGCAGCAAGUCUGAUGUGAAAGGUCGGGGCCCAACCCCGGGACUGCAUUGGAAACUGUUGAACUGGAGUACAGGAGAG